CCAGGACCAAUAUCCCUUCCCACAAACCCAUCCCAGCCUACAGCAGAUGGGCACCAACCAGGGGACAGACUCUACACAUGGGAAAGCAUUGGGCACCUGGAUGGCAGGUGGGGUAGGAACCCCACCACCUGAGUCACUAGCAGGUGUUGCACUGCAACCAGCCUGGAAGGAGGACAGCCACAGCCACACCCCACCCCAGACAGUGUGGGCACUGGCGCCAACCUCUGGGAGCAGAGCAGAGGACAAGAAUGCAAGCUUCAUGAGAAGGGGGAUUAUCUGCUCUGCUUACUCGUAUUUCUCUAAUACCAAGGUCAGUACCUAGCAGUACUCAAUAAAUGACUGUUGAAGUAAAUUCAAAUAUAAACUUUAAACAGCUAAUAUAGUACGAAAUAACUCUAGGGUAAAUUUUGUUUUCUUAAAGUUAGAUGCUUUUAAAAUUAUAAUCCUUAAUUUUUGCACAUUUAAAUAUUCUAAAGAUCUUCUUUCAGCUACAAAUUAGGAAAAAAAGAGAUAUAAGAUAACGACAAGUAAAAAUGGUGAAUAUAUUUUUGUAACUUACUUUGGUUUGAUUUUGUAUCUUUAUAGAAGCCAAUGAAUUGAUUUUUUCUGAUCUUGGCCAGAAUUUUAUAUAUCAGCCACAAGCCUUUUCCAGCUUUAAAAAGUUACCUUUCCAUUAAACAAAAAGAUAUCAAAAUAAAGGGCGACUUGCUCUAAAGCUAUAAUGUGAUUAAAAUACAGCCAGAAAGAUCAAUAAAGUUAAUAUGGAUUUGUAGACUGUAUUCCAGAAAUCUGUCUGCCAAUCAGUCUAAUGGAAUUACUCUUACCUUAUUGAGAUCCUAUUGAAUAUUUGAGAUCAAAUAUUCAUAAAGAAUGCUGUGCUAUUAUUUAAAAACCAAUUACAAAGUAUUUGGUUAUUACAUCUACCACCUGAUAUUAAGGAACCAAGAUCAACAAGAUUUUACAGUCUGUCUCUCUCACAUACACAAAUGCAUGUCCACACGGCACAAACACAAAUAGGCUGAAAUUUUUUACCACAAAAGGAAAAUAUUUAACUCCAUUUUCAAAGAGUGAAGACCAGAAAAUAAAUUACACAUUUAAAUUCAGAAAGAUAAUUAGAGAAGUAGAAUGGGACGUUUCUCUGAUUUUAAAUCUAAUGCUUAGUUCAUAAUUAGAGAAAGCAUUGUUCUUUCAAGAACAAUAUAAAUAACAGACUAUGCUAACUAUGCCAAAGAAAACUCAACACUGCUCCCACUAUUUGUCAUCUACUCAUAGCUCACAAACACAGUGGUAAUAAAAAUUAUAAAACAGUGAAAAUCUGGGUGGAAGGGUAAGAUAAUUUCUGGAGAUUUCAAAAGUAGGAAUCAAAAGAGCUGAUGCUUUCUUCACAGCUGAAGAGAAAUUUUCAGGUAAUGUCCAAUCUAUAUGUUGGCCUCUUCUGCCACUAAACAAAAGAAAGUACACACAUAGACCCAUCUUCUUCACUACAAGACAUAGAAAGUAAUGACUCCCAGGGAACAGACUAGUAUUACUACUUCAGUGGAUUUCACCAAAAAAGAACAUUGGAAGAGAGCAAAUGUCCUCAUUCUCUCGCACCAUAGCUGAGCUAACACAAAGGAUCAGGUUAUCAAGACAUUCACACGAAUCAAGGAUCUUACCUAGUAUUAAGCUUACUAAUUUAAGCUUGAGAAUAUAAAUGACUAAGAUGCACAUACACAGCAAAGAGAUGUUUGAUGUUUCAAGUACAGCUCUCCAGGUGCUUAUUUUUUGUCUCAGUUGUACCUCUGGCCCAGACAAUAGAUACUUCACCUGCUCUCCAGGUGAAGUACAGUUUUCUCUCAUAGCAGGGGGCAUUUUAGGUUACGAAACAUCUCUGAGUUAUUUCCAGAAAGUUACAUCUGAGGCAUCUUCUAGGAAGUUGUGUCUCAUAAAUCCACAGAUUCUGAGUUUGUUUGCUGUAGGCAUUUUAAACCAGAGACAUCUUACUAAAACAUUCCACAGAUAAGAACUUCCCUUCUAUAAAUUAUCAUUAGUUAUGCUGGUUACUGACAUGUUCACAAGGAUACUGUGCCUGGCCUCCUAUCUUCUCUCCUUCUUGGGCAUGUACACCAUCUCCUCAUAAAGGGAAAGAAACAGAUCACAGGUCUUCUCCUUCCUCCUGGUAUUGAUCUGUGAAGUAGCAGAAAAGAAAUAGCAGUAACUAUUACUAUGGAAAUAUAGUUAAUAAUCACCCAAUACUUAGUUUGAACCUGUUAAGCAAAUAUAGACAAAGUAUCUAAAAAUUAUUUGCAAUUGGUAGACAAGUUUUGAUACAAGGAAGAAACUUUCCAAACUCAACAAAUUUGAAAUAGCAUGAUGGAUCAGGAAACAAUGCCCCAAAAGACAACAAAACACAUGGUCUUGAUAAAAUCAACAUGGAGCUAAUGCCCUUAGUGCUAUAUGUUAUUUGUAAUCGUUGUCCACAAAAUUAUGCUUAAAUUAAACACGUAUUAAAUUGCAUCUACUGUGUGGGCACUGUUUUUCUCAAGAAGUCUCAUUGCUAUUAAAAUGGUU
rnacentral:lncRNA from 10 species